GUCGGUUGGAAGGAUUUUUUUGAAAAUGUAAUAUCAAAAAUCGUUUUACUUGGCUUUAAACGUUUUCUUUGCUUAAAAACAUGUUUCUGCUUUCGGUUAAAAGGUUCCACUUAUGUUCGGCGUCACAAAGAGUCCCGCCCCCGCCUGACCAACGGAGGCUUCCUAUUGGCUGCUCACCGCGUGUCCGUCAAGGAACCGCCGCUGUGAUUGGCUGUCGCUACCUGAACCGAUGUCUGGCUAUAUGACGUCACUGUGCUGGUCUACUGCGCCAUCGAUUGAUUCUGCCGUAGAUGAUCUGCAGGAGGAGGCUGGCCAGUGUGAUCAGCUUGCUAUCCGGAGCAGGAAAGAAGCCCUUCAGGAGGCAGUGACGGGCCUCGUCGAACAGAAUGAGGAUGGCCAGAGGAUCCUCCACCUGGAGCAAAACAGCAGCCGGACGUCCCUGCGGAGGAAGAGCUGAGGCGUUUCUCUUUGAGGAUCCAGCACCGUCAGGUCCGUCACAAUCUCUGUCCAGAUGCGCAGGUGCUGCAGGGGCUUGUGGUACGGCUUCAGCUGCAGGCAUCUUUCUACCUGUUGUAAUAUUCGACAAUGAAGCUGAGAGUAGAGAUUGUUCCUGGACGUCCUCUCUCUGUUGGUCCAUGUUCAGGACGAGUCGUCUUUGCACUGACUGAGCACCUCCUGCAUCUUCUCCUGGAUGUCCGCCACCUUCUUGGUCCACUUCUCCCGCACCU